rnacentral:rRNA from 1 species
GGGCGUUUACCACGGUGUGGUUCAUGACUGGGGUGAAGUCGUAACAAGGUAGCCCUAGGGGAACCUGGGGCUGGAUCACCUCCUUA